CAGCCGCCGCGGGAACACGCAGGUGGCAAGCGUUGUCCGGAAUUAUUGGGCGUAAAGGGCUCGCAGGCGGUUUCUUAAGUCUGAUGUGAAAGCCCCCGGCUCAACCGGGGAGGGUCAUUGGAAACUGGGAAACUUGAGUGCAGAAGAGGAGAGUGGAAUUCCACGUGUAGCGGUGAAAUGCGUAGAGAUGUGGAGGAACACCAGUGGCGAAGGCGACUCUCUGGUCUGUAACUGACGCUGAGGAGCGAAAGCGUGGGGAGCGAACAGGAUUAGAUACCCCAGUAGUCCCUGUCUCUUAUAC
rnacentral:rRNA from 1 species